rnacentral:rRNA from 1 species
ACGGCUCAGUAACACGUGGAUAACCUGCCCUAAGGAAGGGGAUAACCUCGGGAAACUGAGGAUAAUACCCUAUAGGUUACAGACGCUGGAAUGCCCUGUAACCGAAAGUUCCGGCGCCUUAGGAUGGAUCUGCGGCCGAUUAGGUUGUUGUUGGGGUAACGGCCCAACAAGCCGAUAAUCGGUACGGGUUGUGGGAGCAAGAGCCCGGAGUUGGAUUCUGAGACAUGAAUCCAGGCCCUACGGGGCGCAGCAGGCGCGAAAACUUUACAAUGCGGGAAACCGUGAUAAGGGAACCCCGAGUGCCUGUAUAUGCAGGCUGUCCAGGUGUCUAAAAAACACCUGAAGAAAGGGCCGGGCAAGACCGGUGCCAGCCGCCGCGGUAAUACCGGCGGCUCGAGUGGUGGCCACUUUUAUUGGGCUUAAAGCGUUCGUAGCUGGGUUGUUAAGUCUCUUGGGAAAUCUGACGGCUCAACCGUCAGGCGUCCAAGGGAUACUGGCAAUCUUGGAACCGGGAGAGGUGAGGGGUACUUCGGGGGUAGGAGUGAAAUCCUGUAAUCCUCGAGGGACCACCUGUGGCGAAGGCGCCUCACCAGAACGGCUUCGACGGUGAGGGACGAAAGCUGGGGGAGCAAACCGGAUUAGAUACCCGGGUAGUCCCAGCCGUAAACGAUGCGCGUUAGGUGUAUCGGUGACCACGAGUCACCGAGGUGCCGAAGGGAAACCGUGAAACGUGCCGCCUGGGAAGUACGGUCGCAUGGCUGAAACUUAAAGGAAUUGGCGGGGGAGCAC